rnacentral:misc_RNA from 1 species
CCGUACCGUUUAGUUCUGUCUUCCAUUAUAAAUCCUAGCAGCAGAGAUUACAUGUGAAGCAAAGCAAAAAAAAAAACAGAAAGAGGAAAAGGAAAGAAAAAAUUAAUAAGUAAAAACGUUAAUGAAAUAUUCAAUCAUGAGUUUGUGCAUGUCCUUGGCAUCUCAAAAAUCCCACAGGAAACAUUUACCAGAUAAAGAAUCUUGUAAAGAAACCUUUACAAAUGGGAGUGUAGAUACACCUAACCUAUCCAGUAAUAAUACAUUCAUUAUGAGUAUACAUUCAAAUCAGUUUUAUACAGUGGAAGUUGGUGAUUCUACAUUCACAAUCCUCAAACGGUACCAGAACCUUAAGCCAAUAGGAUCAGGUGCUCAGGGUAUAGUAUGUGCUGCCAUUGACAAUGUGAAACAAAUAAGUGUAGCAAUCAAGAAGCUAAGUAGGCCAUUCCAAAAUGUCACACAUGCUAAACGGGCCUAUCGAGAGUUUGUCCUUAUGAAACUAGUUAAUCACAAAAAUAUUAUAGGUCUCUUAAAUGCAUUCACACCACAGAAAACUUUAGAGGAUUUUCAAGAUGUGUACCUUGUUAUGGAACUAAUGGAUGCAAACCUGUGUCAGGUCAUACAGAUGGAUUUAGAUCAUGAAAGAAUGUCAUAUCUUCUCUAUCAAAUGCUAUGUGGAAUUAAGCAUUUGCAUUCAGCAGGGAUUAUCCACAGAGAUUUAAAGCCCAGUAACAUAGUGGUGAAAGCAGAUUGUACUCUGAAGAUUCUAGAUUUUGGUUUAGCACGGACAGCAGGUACUGGUUUUAUGAUGACACCAUAUGUAGUAACAAGAUAUUACCGUGCUCCAGAAGUCAUUCUUGGUAUGGGUUAUAAAGAAAAUGUUGAUAUCUGGUCAGUUGGCUGUAUUAUGGCUGAGUUGAUACGAGGUGGUGUACUAUUCCCUGGCACUGAUCAUAUAGAUCAAUGGAAUAAAAUAAUCCAACAGUUAGGAACGCCGUCUCAAGACUUCAUGUGUAGAUUACAGCCUACAGUUCGGAGCUACGUCGAGAACCGUCCCCGGUUUACAGGCUACACCUUUGAUAUUUUGUUUGCAGACUGUAUGUUCCCCGCAGAUAGCCGCGAACACCAAGGGCUGCAGGCUUCCGUGGCUAGAGAUUUACUGUCCAAGAUGCUGGUUGUUGAUCCCGAACGAAGGAUAUCCGUUGAUGAGGCAUUGAUGCACCCUUACAUCAAUGUUUGGUAUGAUGAAGGAGAAGUAAAUGCGCCUGCUCCUGGACCUUACGACCACUCUGUAGAUGAGAGAGAACACUCUGUAGAGGAAUGGAAAGAACUUAUAUAUGAUGAAGUAAAAAAAUAUGAAAACAAAGAUAAUCAAAUAACAAAUGCUAUGCAAAAUCUCUCAGGUAAGCUAAAAGUGUAGUUUGGGAAGAACCUACCACUGCCACAGCAUGAAGACAGGCAAGCAGAGAUCAUAUCGAUGGACCAACAAAUGACUCUGCCCCUAAGGACAGUGUAGCAACAGGCUCUCCAGGUCAGAACAGGCAUCGGUGACUGCUGUG